rnacentral:rRNA from 1 species
GUUUGAUCCUGGCUCAGAACGAACGCUGGCGGCAGGCCUAACACAUGCAAGUCGAGCGAGACCUUCGGGUCUAGCGGCGGACGGGUUAGUAACGCGUGGGAACGUACCCAAAGGUAGGGAAUAGCCACUGGAAACGGUGAGUAAUACCCUAUGUGCCCUUCGGGGGAAAGAUUUAUCGCCUUAGGAUCGGCCCGCGUUAGAUUAGAUAGUUGGUGGGGUAAUGGCCUACCAAGUCUACGAUCUAUAGCUGGUUUUAGAGGAUGAUCAGCAACACUGGGACUGAGACACGGCCCAGACUCCUAC